rnacentral:rRNA from 1 species
UACAGAGGGUGCGAGCGUUAAUCGGAAUUACUGGGCGUAAAGCGCGCGUAGGCGGCUUUGCAAGUCGGGUGUGAAAUCCCCAGGCUUAACCUGGGAACUGCAUUCGAGACUGCAUUGCUAGAGUAUGGGAGAGGGAAGUGGAAUUUCCGGUGUAGCGGUGAAAUUCGUAGAUAUUCGCAAGAACACCAGUGGCGAAGGCGGCUCACUGGCCCGAUACUGACGCUGAGGUGCGAAAGCGUGGGGAGCAAACAGG